rfam:Triticum aestivum genome assembly, contig: Triticum_aestivum_CS42_TGACv1_scaffold_094333_2AL
CUUAUACUCCCUCCGUCCGGAAAUAUUCGUCGGAGAAAUAGAUAAAAAUAUAUGUAUCUAGAAAUAACAUAUGUCUAUAUACAUCCAUUUCUCCGGCAAGUAUUUCCGGACAGAGGGAGAAUAUA